GCCCAAAGAACACCUCAGUGUCAGUCAGUCCCUCUGGUGAAAUAGUGGAGGGCAGUUCAGUGACUCUGACCUGCAGCAGUGAUGCCAACCCACCUGUGGACAAAUACACCUGGUACAAGAAGAACGUAGCCUCACCAAAAGCAUCAGGACAGAAUUACAGCAUCACUAACAUCAUCUCUGAGGACAGAGGAGAAUAUUACUGUGAGGCCCAGAAUGGAAGAGGAUCUAAUAACUCUACAGCUCUGAUGAUCAUUGUAGCAGGGAAACAGACCUCAUUUCUGACUGCAGCUGUAGGGAUCAUAGUGGUUGUACUGGUUCUCAUCCUCUGUCUCUCUGGACUCAUGUUGUUCAGGAGAUACACAGGAGGAAGUGAUGCGACAACAGACACACAGGUGAUUCUAUCAGUUAUCAGUUACACCAGGACACCCC